rnacentral:pre_miRNA from 1 species
ACUUUAACCUGGAAGUACUUGCUGGAUGUUGAAAAAGUAAGUGCUUCCUUGUUUUAGUUG